CAGAACCCAGGAACAUAAAUAAACCUGCAUGGAGCUGCCUCACUCUCUAAAGAAGCCCACUGAUUGUCAGCUUUGUGCUCAUGGUGAUACAGGACAAUGACUUGCCUCCACCUCUGCUGAGUCUCUCACACACUCUGUGGGACUGUUCAAUGUGCUAGGCAACCUUGUCCGGGGAGGAGCACCUAUCCAUCCGUAAAUGGUCUCUAUAUCUGCCUUGGCUGGAGGAAGGGAAGCAAACCACCAUCUCUGGAAGUGACGUGGAGGCGUGGCUGAGCUCACUAGGGCUGCCUAGCACUUCUGUGCACCAGCAGUGGUUCCUGCUAUCUGAAGCUCUGACUGUGGGUGAGACUGUAGGCUCCUAGUCACCAGAGGAACCCACCUAGGGUGAAGUGUUUGCUUUAGCCUUGGCAAGCACCAGAGUGCAGGCAGAAAAUGAGCAGCUGUGCUUUUCGGUUUUAAGGAUGUGGUGUGAAGGAAGCGCCAGGGAUGACGUCGUGUCCUACUUUGACCAGGGAGGGCUCUGUCUGCCAAGGCACUGUCUUUCCCAGCACAUGCUCCAUCUCUGAGGAAGAUGGCGGUCAAGGUGAUCUUGAAGUUGUUGGAAAAUAAGACAAGAAAUACUUCUCCUGAAAGGGCUUCAGGGAACCAAGAGCCAAGUACAUUACAGAAUCAGACAGGACCCAGGGAACAUAGAAUCCUUUCUGGGAAAUCACCUGACCAGAACCUCAAAAGAAGAUGAGCUGAGCCGACACUAAGGAGAGGAGUCAUUGAUCCGGGGACACGAGUCUGAUGACAAGAUCACAACGAGCUGUGUCACACAACACUAUUGCCAAAGAUGAGCCCCCAUGCAGAGACACAGUGGCACUGCUGGCUGGUGGCCUUCAGUUAAGGUCACUUGUCAGCUCUCCAGCACUCCCAGAAUGGCUCAAGUUAUGAAGCAUGAGAAACUUGGUCUAGGAAUUAAAGAAUCCUCGUCAAAGGCAGACACUAGGAGCCCAGGGUUUUGCUUUGCUCCCUGCCAAGUGGGAGGACAAAGAGCACCAGGGAUGAACAGCUGCAGUUGGUCGGUCCAGUGUUUGCCAAGGUUAGCAUUCCCAAACUGUCUCCAGCAGAAACGCUCAUUUCUGAUGUUCUACAGUUGUUUUCCUUAAAAGAAAUACUUUAAUAUAUUUAGUUUAAAUUGCAUGAUGGCAAUUAUGCUUCUAAGUCUGAUUAAGUGGCCCGAUAGAAGUCUUUGCUUCCAUAAGGGGAUAUUUGUUGUUCAAUAGAUGAUUCUAAUUUUGUGUGGUGGGAGGAUUCAUAUUGUAAGCAUUGAGACUGACUUUUCCCCCAUUAGUUAUUUAUAAAGCUCUUAUUAGGCUGGUUCAAUGUACAAAGGGGAAAAAGAUAAGUUAUUGUUAAUCAAUUUCUAAUCUAUUUAUUACGGAGCUGAUAGAAAAUGAAGCUCACUGUGGGGAUUGUUAUUCAGAUUGCAGAUCAUUCCAAUGCCAUGUAUCAUGUCAAUUAAUAAAUAGAACAUUUAACUUUUUAUAAUUA